UCUUAUGAGAAAUAAGUGGAUGAAAGUAUUUCCAAGUCGACUCGGUGGACUGGGAAUUUUUUUCAAAUUUAAAUUUCAAAAGGGUUUGCAAAUCAGUGGAUGGCUACAAGUUGCCAUCUGAAUUAUUUUCUAGGAUAUUUUAAUUGACUCCACUGUAUGGAAACCAAGUGUGAAUGUUAAGGUGAAUUCACUGUAUACCCUUUACCACCCAAUGUCCUUGUACACAAGAUUUUCAUGUCACUGGGGUAGCUCACUGUGUUGGUUCUUCUCCAUUUAGAAAGGCUGAUAACGUACUGAAUUGUCUGAGAUCAGGAGUUCCAGACUGACCCUUCUGGGAAAAAAGAAAAUAGCAUGAAACAAACUCUUUUUCCGUGUCAAAACAUCGAUCCUUUGGGAGUGGGGUGGGAAAUGGGGGUAGGACAUCAUAAACUCUAGCUGUUUGAGUUUCUGAAAGUUCAUAACCUCAGUAGACACCAGCAAAAAUUUCAGCUUUUCAGUCCACCACCAACCACUCUCUCCUCCACAAAUGAGACUUUAGCAAUUUGUCUAGAAUUUGGUUGGGUAAGCAAACCUUAGCUCUCCUAAGUGGUGGUCCUCACUUACUCAAUGACAACUUGCACUGGGGAUACUGCUCGCCUUGGUCACACUUUCCCACAGCUCCGAACUCUGAAAUACACAACCAGGUAGAACAAGCAAUGGACAAAUUUGCACCACUGUGCCCCAUGAAAAUGUUUCAAUGUUUAGUUUAGGUAUUGCUAACUUGUGCUAUUAACCUUUUGACAAGCAGUGUAGUAUUGUUUGUUUUGGGUUUGUUUUUGAUUUGUAACCAUUUAGUAGUCCCCAGCUAGCUACCAGUACAGAUUUUACCCCAUGGGUAGGAUUCUACUGUCAAGCCACGUAACAAAGCACACUAAUCCAGACACUGCAAAUGGAAAACAUGAACCAAAAAGGAAAUUGACACCGAUAAGUUGAACAAACUCUCCAUUUUUGAUAUUUGCAUGCUCCCCUAUGGACUGGCUGUGGCAAUGUAAUGCCUGUAUAAUGUUUUCAAAUAAAAAUAAAUGCUUUAUGAAAGCAC
rnacentral:lncRNA from 1 species